rnacentral:rRNA from 1 species
UACGAAGGGGACUAGCGUUGUUCGGAAUUACUGGGCGUAAAGCGCACGUAGGCGGAUUCGUAAGUCAGGGGUGAAAUCCCGGGGCUCAACCUCGGAACUGCCUUUGAUACUGCGAAUCUCGAGUCCGAUAGAGGUGGGUGGAAUUCCUAGUGUAGAGGUGAAAUUCGUAGAUAUUAGGAAGAACACCGGUGGCGAAGGCGGCCCACUGGAUCGGUACUGACGCUGAGGUGCGAAAGCGUGGGGAGCAAACAGG